GAUGAACGCUGGCGGCGUGCCUAAUACAUGCAAGUCGAGCGAACAGACGAGGAGCUUGCUCCUCUGACGUUAGCGGCGGACGGGUGAGUAACACGUGGAUAACCUACCUAUAAGACUGGGAUAACUUCGGGAAACCGGAGCUAAUACCGGAUAAUAUAUUGAACCGCAUGGUUCAAUAGUGAAAGACGGUUUUGCUGUCUCUUAUAGAUGGAUCCGCGCCGCAUUAGCUAGUUGGUAAGGUAACGGCUUACCAAGGCAACGAUGCGUAGCCGACCUGAGAGGGUGAUCGGCCACACUGGAACUGAGACACGGUCCAGACUCCUACGGGAGGCAGCAGUAGGGAAUCUUCCGCAAUGGGCGGAAGCCUGACGGAGCAACGCCGCGUGAGUGAUAAAGGUCUUCGGAUCGUAAAACUCUGUUAUUAGGGAAGAACAAAUGUGUAAGUAACUAUGCACGUCUUGACGGUACCUAAUCAGAAAGCCACGGCUAACUACGUG
rnacentral:rRNA from 1 species